rnacentral:rRNA from 1 species
CAGCCGCCGCGGGAAUACGUAGGGUGCGAGCGUUAAUCGGAAUUACUGGGCGUAAAGCGUGCGCAGGCGGUUCGUUAAGACAGAUGUGAAAUCCCCGGGCUUAACCUGGGAACUGCAUUUGUGACUGGCGAGCUAGAGUAUGGCAGAGGGGGGUAGAAUUCCACGUGUAGCAGUGAAAUGCGUAGAGAUGUGGAGGAAUACCGAUGGCGAAGGCAGCCCCCUGGGACAACACUGACGCUGAAGCACGAAAGCUAGGGGAGCAAACAGGAUUAGAUACCCGCGUAGUCCCUGUCUCUUAUAC